rnacentral:rRNA from 1 species
UAGGGCAUACACCAAUGUACCAAACCCUAUCAAACUCCGAAUACCUUAUAUGUAAUCACAGCAGUCAGGCGGCGAGUGAUAAAAUCCGUCGUCAAGAGGGAAACAACCCAGACUACCAGCUAAGGUCCCUAAAUCUUACUUAAGUGGAAAACGAUGUGAAGUUACUUAAACAACCAGGAGGUUGGCUUAGAAGCAGCCAUCCUUUAAAGAAAGCGUAAUAGCUCACUGGUCUAGUGAUUUUGCGCGGAAAAUAUAACGGGGCUAAAGUAAGUACCGAAGCUGUAGACUUGCGCACAACUUAGAUUAUUUAAGUUUAGAAUAUGAGAAACUAAGUUAUAUGUUUAGUUAUAUUUUUACUGAUUUUUAUAGAGUAAAGAUAGAAAUAAAACUUAGUAAAAUCAGUAAAAAUAUUCUUAGACUAAAGUUAAGUAGUUUAAGUUGUGUGCAAGUGGUAGGAGAGCGUUCUAUUUGCGUCGAAGGUAUACCGGUAAGGAGUGCUGGAGCGAAUAGAAGUGAGCAUGCAGGCAUGAGUAGCGAUAAUUAAUGUGAGAAUCAUUAACGCCGUAAACCCAAGGUUUCCUACGCGAUGCUCGUCAUCGUAGGGUUAGUCGGGUCCUAAGUCGAGUCCGAAAGGGGUAGACGAUGGCAAAUUGGUUAAUAUUCCAAUACCAACAUUAGUGUGCGAUGGAAGGACGCUUAGGGCUAAGGGGGCUAGCGGAUGGAAGUGCUAGUCUAAGGUCGUAGGAGGUUAUACAGGCAAAUCCGUAUAACAAUACUCCGAGAACUGAAAGGCUUUUUGAAGUCUUCGGAUGGAUAGAAGAACCCCUGAUGCCAUCGAGCCAAGAAAAGUUUCUAAGUUUAGCUAAUGUUGCCCGUACCGUAAACCGACACAGGUGGGUGGGAUGAGUAUUCUAAGGCGCGUGGAAGAACUCUCUUUAAGGAACUCUGCAAAAUAGCACCGUAUCUUCGGUAUAAGGUGUGGUUCGCUUCGUAUUAGGAUUUACUCCGAAAGCGAAGAAACUUACAACAAAGAGUCCCUCCCGACUGUUUACCAAAAACACAGCACUCUGCUAACUCGUAAGAGGAUGUAUAGGGUGUGACGCCUGCCCGGUGCUCGAAGGUUAAUUGAUGGGGUUAGCAUUAGCGAAGCUCUUGAUCGAAGCCCGAGUAAACGGCGGCCGUAACUAUAACGGUCCUAAGGUAGCGAAAUUCCUUGUCGGUUAAAUACCGACCUGCAUGAAUGGCGUAACGAGAUGGGAGCUGUCUCAAAGAGGGAUCCAGUGAAAUUGUAGUGGAGGUGAAAAUUCCUCCUACCCGCGGCAAGACGGAAAGACCCCGUGGACCUUUACUACAGCUUGACACUGCUAUUUGGAUAAGAAUGUGCAGGAUAGGUGGGAGGCUUUGAGUAUAUGACGCCAGUUGUAUAUGAGCCAUUGUUGAGAUACCACUCUUUCUUAUUUGGGUAGCUAACCAGCUUGAGUUAUCCUCAAGUGGGACAAUGUCUGGUGGGUAGUUUGACUGGGGCGGUCGCCUCCCAAAUAAUAACGGAGGCUUACAAAGGUUGGCUCAGAACGGUUGGAAAUCGUUCGUAGAGUAUAAAGGUAUAAGCCAGCUUAACUGCAAGACAUACAAGUCAAGCAGAGACGAAAGUCGGUCUUAGUGAUCCGGUGGUUCUGUGUGGAAGGGCCAUCGCUCAAAGGAUAAAAGGUACCCCGGGGAUAACAGGCUGAUCUCCCCCAAGAGCUCACAUCGACGGGGAGGUUUGGCACCUCGAUGUCGGCUCAUCGCAUCCUGGGGCUGGAGCAGGUCCCAAGGGUAUGGCUGUUCGCCAUUUAAAGCGGUACGCGAGCUGGGUUCAGAACGUCGUGAGACAGUUCGGUCCCUAUCUGCCGUGGGCGUAAGAAGAUUGAAGAGAUUUGACCCUAGUACGAGAGGACCGGGUUGAACAAACCACUGGUGUAGCUGUUGUUCUGCCAAGAGCAUCGCAGCGUAGCUAAGUUUGGAAAGGAUAAACGCUGAAAGCAUCUAAGCGUGAAGCCAACUCUAAGAUGAAUCUUCUCUAAGCUCUCUAGAAGACUACUAGUUUGAUAGGCUGGGUGUGUAAUGGAUGAAAGUCCUUUAGCUGACCAGUACUAAUAGAGCGUUUGGCUUAUCUUUAAUAAAGCAU